AUCCAGCUGACGAGUCCCAAGUAGGACGAAACGCACAUUGUCCUGGAU
rnacentral:hammerhead_ribozyme from 1 species